AAACUUUUUGGUUUGUCGGAAAAAUUUUUCGGUUUGUCGGAAAAGUACUGCCCUUGCCCCCCCCCAAAAAAAACAUGGGCCCCACGGUGCCACUGAUUGUCAUUCUACUUCCUGUUAAAUAUUUGUUAAAACUCAGUGGUCCCGUAAUUUUUACCGAUUACGUAUGACGUCAUUGACAUCAACAAAUGUUUUCACGAUUUCAUGUUUGUCAAUAGAGCCCCCCCCCGCUUCGGUAAAUUUAGUUCUACAGCACUAUUCGUCGACUAUUCGUACUAUUCGUCGACUAUUCGCUUCACUAUUCUAGUUUUAUCAAUUGCCCUCUACAAGCAUACGCAGAGUGCCAGUUCAGUUUUCUGCCUCAAUGCAGGUACUACGUAACGUUAAAGGAACAGACGGAAAAUUAAAAUCUCUCAAAACUGAUUAUAAAAAAGCUUAGGUGAAAAAUUUACAUCAUGUUUAGCAUCCUCGACGUUCCUCACCUGACCCGAGAAAAGCCCCCGACCUUCAAAUACUUUUUAUUUUUAAAAAUCCCUCCAAGUUUAGUGUAAAAACUCUCUAAAAACCUUUCACUUGUAAAAAUGGUGAUUUUUACACUUUGUAAUUGCCUUCAAUGAAACUCAAUCUCAUUUCCAGAGUAUGCCUGUUCGCAGGUAAGGUGUUGGGCAUGAAGGCCUUCGGAUGCCAUGUUGUAAUUUUUCUGUUUUAAAUGCAGUAAUUCAUAUUAAAGUUAGUUCUGAUUAUGGUGAUGUGCUGAAUUUCCAGGAUUGUGUUUCUGAAACACCCUGUUGUAGAGUUUGUAUAGGCAAAUUUUUUUAAAAAAACUGCCAACCUGGAAAAAUUGAAAUGGGUGGAUGCUAAACAAGUAAUUUUUUAUGUGGUGUUAUCAAAACCAUUUAGAAAAUAAAGUACAAAAAAAUUUUAAAAAGUCAAAAUAACAACACCUUCAAUGUGUGUUUUUAUGUUUCAAUAAGCUCAGGGCCAUAGUGAAGAGGCUAAAGUAGGGGGGUGUAGUAUCACAUUUGCCGACAACAUUUCAGUCGCCAAUUUUAAAAUACUUCUUUUCCCAAAAUUGUUGUCAGGGGAGGUAAAAAAUUUUUCCAGACAUGCCAUUUUCCACUAACUCUCGAAUUUAUCUAAACUUUUGUUAUAACUGCUAACUAGUACUUUUUAUUCCGAGCCACUCA